UUGAACGCUGGCGGAAUGCUUUACACAUGCAAGUCGAACGGCAGCACGGGGGCAACCCUGGUGGCGAGUGGCGAACGGGUGAGUAAUGUAUCGGAACGUACCCAGUCGUGGGGGAUAACUAUCCGAAAGGAUAGCUAAUACCGCAUACGUCCUGAGGGAGAAAGCGGGGGAUCGCAAGACCUCGCGCGAUUGGAGCGGCCGAUAUCGGAUUAGCUAGUUGGUGAGGUAAAGGCUCACCAAGGCGACGAUCCGUAGCGGGUCUGAGAGGACGACCCGCCACACUGGAACUGAGACACGGUCCAGACUCCUACGGGAGGCAGCAGUGGGGAAUUUUGGACAAUGGGGGAAACCCUGAUCCAGCCAUUCCGCGUGAGUGAAGAAGGCCUUCGGGUUGUAAAGCUCUUUCAGCAGGAACGAAACGGUCGGCUUUAAUAAAGUCGGCUAAUGACGGUACCUGCAGAAGAAGCACCGGCUAACUACGU
rnacentral:rRNA from 1 species